rnacentral:tRNA from 1 species
GGCCUGGUGGCUCAGUUGGUUGGAGCAUUAUUCAUUACACCAAAAAUUUGUGGGUUCGAUUCCCAGUCAGGGCA